UGCCCAGCAAUUCCUAUCCCUACCUCCUCGUGGUACUGGUCGGGAUACGAGUAACCUUGGGGAAGAUCGGUUUAGAGGGCGUCGG
rnacentral:ribozyme from 1 species